AUUGAACGCUGGCGGCAUGCUUUACACAUGCAAGUCGAACGGUAACAGGCCUUCGGGUGCUGACGAGUGGCGAACGGGUGAGUAAUGCAUCGGAACGUACCCAGAGGUGGGGGAUAACGCAGCGAAAGCUGUGCUAAUACCGCAUGUGAUCUGAGGAUGAAAGCGGGGGACCGAGCAGCAAUGCUUGGCCUCGCGCCUUUGGAGCGGCCGAUGUCGGAUUAGCUAGUUGGUGGGGUAAAGGCCUACCAAGGCGACGAUCCGUAGCUGGUCUGAGAGGACGACCAGCCACACUGGGACUGAGACACGGCCCAGACUCCUACGGGAGGCAGCAGUGGGGAAUUUUGGACAAUGGGCGCAAGCCUGAUCCAGCAAUGCCGCGUGCGGGAAGAAGGCCUUCGGGUUGUAAACCGCUUUUGGCAGGAACGAAACGGUGUCCGCUAAUACCGGGCGCUAAUGACGGUACCUGCAGAAUAAGCACCGGCUAACUACGUG
rnacentral:rRNA from 1 species